rnacentral:rRNA from 1 species
AUUGAACGCUGGCGGCAGGCCUAACACAUGCAAGUCGAGCGAGCGGCGGACGGGUGAGUAAUGUCUGGGAAACUGCCUGAUGUAGGGGGAUAACUACUGGAAACGGUAGCUAAUACCGCAUACCAUCAGAUUUGCCCAGAUGGGAGUAGCUAGUAGGGGGGGUAACGGCUCACCUAGGCGACGGACCCUAGCUGGUCUGAGAGGAUGACCAGCCACACGGGAACUGAGACACGGUCAAGACUCCUACGGGAGGCAGAAGUGGGAAAUAUUGCACAAUGGGCGAAAGCCGGAUGCAGCAAUGCCGCGUGUGUGAAGAAGGCCUUCGGGUGGUAAAGCACUGUCAGCGGGGAGACGUUACCCGCAGAAGAAGCACCGGCUAACUCCGUGCCAGCAGCCGCGGUAAUUC